GGGGUUAUAGCUCAGUUGGUAGAGCGCUUGCUUAGCGUGAUGAUUCAUAGUUACAUGCAUGAGGUCUUGGGUUCAAUUCCCAAUAACUCCA
rnacentral:tRNA from 1 species